UAAUCGGAUAGAGGUGCGAUAUUUAUAAGUAGAAUGGUGGAGGUGAGCACUAUGAAACCGUUUGAAAGGAGAUAUUGCCGAAACUUAUAGUAAGGCUACUUUAUUAUAAGUUGGUUAUAUAUAUAAUAUAUAUAUAACUGUCACAUAAGAUGUGGGGAGCUAUCAAACGU
rfam:Clostridium tyrobutyricum DIVETGP, WGS project CBXI01000000 data, contig: NODE_36